rnacentral:lncRNA from 1 species
GGGGGUCCUGCCUCGCCACCGGGGAGCAACACCCGGCCACCGAUGCAGUGCCGAGCCACCAGCAGCGGCCGCCCCACCUGGGCCCAGCGCCCGCACCGCCGCGAGCCGCCGGAACCACCUCGCCCCCGCCGGAUCUGCAGCACAGCGGGGAUGGGGACCUCCCCCACGAACCUGCGAGCCACCACGCUCGCUGCCCUCGCCACCGAAGCCGCACCUCGCCGCCGCUGCAAAGCUCCCCGCCGCCGCAAGCGCCGCCAAGACAGGUUUCCUCGCCGCCACCGUCCUCGACCACGACCCGGGCUUAGCCGGCGGCAGUCUCAGG